ACUAAACAGGAAAAGACAAGAGUUUGUCGCCUUUUAGGAAUGAGAGUGGCAAAUAUUUAUGAUAUUGACUACAAGACCAACCUGAUUCAAUUAGCACUGACUGCAAAGUCAUGCUAUAUUGGUUGAGUCUGAGAAUAGAACAAGUACAACAGAGUUUUAAUGGCCCAAGAAUGUUAUGCCAUCUGGAUUUUCCAUGAAGGCGCAAGUUAGUUUGAUUUGUUUGUGUGUCUGGUUUCUGCUUUACAGAUUUUUUUCAAAACAAGUGACAUUACUGUUGUGGGGUGCUACCCUAGUUUCUCCUAUUUUUUAACUUUGUUUUAUCCUUUCAAUUUUCUCUAAUUUACCAUGGAGAAACCUCCGUCAUUAUCCAUUUUUUUUUUCACUGCUACAUAACAUGAUAUUUUAUGGAAGCAAAAAUUUAUUAUUUUUUUGUCUAGUGUAAAUGAAAUGUUUCAUUGUUUUGCCAAAUCAUUGUGAGAGCUUUGGCUGUAAGAUUAAUUCAAAGGAUCAGGCUAACCAAUAUUAGUAUAAAUUUACUCGUGGUCUAUCGUGAA